rnacentral:rRNA from 1 species
GCUAAUAGGGGAUAAUGUCGCAAGACGAUUGACCGGGACCUUCGCGCGUCUUGCCAUCAGAUGUGCCCAGAUGGGAUUAGCUAGUAGGUGCCGUAACGGCUCACCUACGCGACGAUCCCUAGCUGGUCUGAGAGCAUGACCAGCCACACUGGAACUGAGACACGGUCCAGACUGGUACGGCAGGCAGCAGUGGCAAUAUUGCACAAUGGCGCAGCCUGAUGCAGCCAUGCCGCGUGUAUGAUGAAGGCCUUCCCGUUGUAAAGUACUUUCAGCGCCGAGGAAGGUGUUGUGGUUAAUAACCGCAGCAAUUGACGUUACCGGCAGAAGAAGCACCGGCUAUCUCCGUGCCAGCAGCCGCGGUUAUACGGAGGGUGCAAGCGUUAAUCCGGAAAAACUGGGCGUAAAGCGCACGCAGGCGGUCUGUCAAGUCGGAUGUGAAAUCCGCGCUCAACCUGCGAACUGCAUUCGUAACUGGCAGGCUGGAGUCAAGUAGAGGCCCGUAGAAUUCCAGGUGUAGCGGUGAAUGCGUAGACAUCUGGAGGAAUACCGGUGGCGAAGGCGGCCCCCUGGACAAAGACUGACGCUCAGGUGCGAAAGCGUGGGGAGCAAACAGGAUUAGAUACCCUGGUAGUCCACGCCGUAAACGAUGUCGAUUUGGAGGUUGUGCCCUUGAGGCGUGGCUUCCGGAGCUAACGCGUUAAAUCGACCGCCUGGGGAG